UACGUAGGGUGCGAGCGUUAAUCGGAAUUACUGGGCGUAAAGCGUGCGCAGGCGAUUAUGUAAGACAGUUGUGAAAUCCCCGGGCUCAACCUGGGAAUGGCGAUGGAGACUGCAAGGCUAGAGUUUGGCAGAGGGGGGGUAGAAUUCCACGUGUAGCAGUGAAAUGCGUAGAUAUGUGGAGGAACAUCGGAGGCGAAGGCGACCAACUGGCAGUGUAUUGACGUUGAGGUGCGAAAGCGUGGGGAGCAAACAGG
rnacentral:rRNA from 1 species